GAUUUUAUGAUUGCAUUGGUCACGUUCAUGGAUGCGUUGAACAAUUCGAGAGUGCGUUUCACGAUCUUUGUUAUGGAUUCAGCAAGAGUAACCGAAACGAGGUCAGCUUGCGAAGCAUAUUAUUCCUUGUGAUUGGGACCAUAUUAUGUUUACACAUGUAAAUAAAG